AGAAACUUUAUCCUGCCAUCUACAUCAGAGCCACAUCUGUCAAUAUGGAUAAUAUUAUUGCUGCGUCCUAAGGUUCAGCUUGCAAAUAAACCCAUCAAGCAGAGGCGGUACACACAAACAAAAGGUGGACUCUUUGGUUUUUUAAAACGGAGCCCGAAACCGUAUGAGCUAUUGCGCCACAUAUUUAUUUUGCCUAGUCAACGAUCAAGUAAAUGAAGGUAUUGAGUGAAAAAACUGCCGCAAUGAUACAGCCCCAAAUUUGAUUCCGGCCCAGUGUAUGGUUUUUUCAACUAAAGUUUUUUGUUAUUUUUGCCUCAAGAAUGUACUUAUUGUGAAUUUCUUUGUUAAUGGCUGUAUAGUUUUACUUGAGUCAAAGAAAAUCGUAGUUUUUGUAUAAACAAAUAAUUUAUAAAUCUAUAUUAGGGUACAUUUUAUUGUCGUCUUUUUUUUCUUAGAAACUUGCAGUAGAUUAUUCACUUUUUGGAAACUGAUAAUUACUUGUUAAUACCAUAAUUUAUUAUGGAAAAUUGUACUGUUAAGUAGGUCUUUUGUUGAUGGCUGUAUAGUUUUACGCAAGUUAAAGAAAAUCGUAGGAUAUUUUUUUCUACACAAAUUUUACUUAUAAGGGGACAUAAAUGAUUGUUUGUUUGUUUAUAUUGAAGAGGCUCCGAAACUAAGUACUGGACUUUUUUUCGGAAAACAAUUUGAAAAAUUAAUCCUUCAUUUUCCCUAAUGAAGAUAGGCUAAAACCGGAUUUUUACUGGCGGUACGAAGUGCGCCGAGUCAGCUAGUUUCUUAUAAACAUGCAAAUACGGUAAAAAUGAUUCAUUUUGUUAAUGGCUGUCUAGUGUCUAGUGUUACGCAAUUACAGGUAAUCAUCAUUUUUAUUGUAAACAGAAUUAGGUACCAUUUAUUUAUAAAUAGCUUUUGCCCGCGGCUUCACCCGCGUGAAAUUUAGUGCCACAGAUUGGCAUAAAUUAUACCCUAUUAUGUUAAUCUGGGUUACAAAUAAUAAUACUGUAAAGUUUCAACCAAAUCCGUUCAGUAGUUUUUGCGUGAAAGAGUAACAAACAUCCACACAAACUUUGACCUUUAUAAUAUUAGUAGGAUUUAUAGUCUGCGACAAUAGAAAUGUU